UCAGCCUGCAGAAACCGAAUACUUUCCAUUGGAAAAUAUAUUUUCACAAUAAGUGACUAUUUUUGUACCUGAGGAACGUCUGCCUCUAACGACUCCACAAGACUAGUUCACUGGAGAUUACCAGGAAACGAGUCC